rnacentral:rRNA from 1 species
ACUUCGGUCCCGAGUAGAGUGGCGCGCGGGUGAGUAACGCGUAAGUAAUCUACCCCUGUAUUUGGAAUAACCUACCGAAAGGUGAGCUAAUACCGGAUACGUUUGAGAUGAUGCGAAUCAUUUCACAGGAAGGAGGCCUCUGCAUAUGCUUCCGUACAGGGAUGAGCUUGCGUACCAUUAGCUAGUUGGCAGGGUAAUGGCCUACCAAGGCGACGAUGGUUAGCGGGUCUGAGAGGAUGAUCCGCCACACUGGAACUGGAACACGGACCAGACUCCUACGGGAGGCAGCAGUGAGGAAUAUUGCGCAAUGGGGGAAACCCUGACGCAGCGACGCCGCGUGGAUGAUGAAGGCCCUUGGGUCGUAAAAUCCUGUCAGAUGGAAAGAAAUGCUUUAGGGCUAAUAUCUCUAGAGUUUGACGGUACCAUCAAAGGAAGCACCGGCUAACUCCGUGCCAGCAGCCGCGGUAAUACGGAGGGUGCAAGCGUUGUUCGGAAUUACUGGGCGUAAAGCGCGCGUAGGCGGUUUGCUCAGUCAGAUGUGAAAAAGCC